CCUACGGGCGGCAGCAGUGAGGAAUAUUGGUCAAUGGGCGCGAGCCUGAACCAGCCAAGUCGCGUGAGGGAGGACGGCCCUACGGGUUGUAAACCUCUUUUGCCGGGGAGCAACGGGCGUCACGUGUGGCGCCACUGGGAGUACCCGGAGAAAAAGCAUCGGCUAACUCCGUGCCAGCAGCGGCGGUAAUACGGAGGAUGCGAGCGUUAUCCGGAUUUAUUGGGUUUAAAGGUGGCGUAGGCGUGUCGUUAAGUCAGUGGUCAAAUGGAGGGGCACAACCCCUGCCCGCCAUUGAAACUGGCGCUCUUGAGUGGAAGAGAGGUAUGCGGAAUGCGUGGUGUAGCGGUGAAAUGCAUAGAUAUCACGCAGAACCCCGAUUGCGAAGGCAGGAUGCCGGCUUCCGACUGACGCUGAAGCACGAAGGCGUGGGGAUCGAACAGGAUUAGAUACCCGAGUAGUC
rnacentral:rRNA from 1 species